AACAUACUCCCUCCGUCCAACAAAAGAUGUCUCAAAUUUGUCAAAAUUUGGAUGUAUCUAGACAUGACUUACUGUAUAGAUGCAUUUAAAUUUAGUUAAAGUUGAGACAUCCUUUGUUGGACAGAGGGAAUACUAG
rfam:Brachypodium distachyon strain Bd21 chromosome 2, whole genome shotgun sequence.